GAACGAACGCUGGCGGCGCGCCUAAUACAUGCAAGUCGAGCGAGAAGACGUAGCAAUACGUUUGUAAAGCGGCGAACGGGUGAGGAAUACAUGGGUAACCUACCCUCGAGUGGGGAAUAACUAGCCGAAAGGUUAGCUAAUACCGCGUACGCUCCUUGGACUUCGGUUCAGGGAGGAAAGCGAUACCGUGGGUAUCGCGCUCUUGGAUGGGCUCAUGUCCUAUCAGCUUGUUGGUGAGGUAACGGCUCACCAAGGCUUCGACGGGUAGCUGGUCUGAGAGGACAAUCAGCCACACUGGCACUGCGACACGGGCCAGACUCCUACGGGAGGCAGCAGUAAGGAAUAUUGCGCAAU
rnacentral:rRNA from 1 species